AGUAAGUUGCACUGUAGCCUCUGUGCUUCCUAAUAAAAAAUGGAUCCCUUUCUUGUACUAGCCAAAUAAGCUUAACAAAGUUAAAGUGCAGAUAUUUGCUCUUACUAUUUGGUUUUGAAGGAGUCAUAAAACUUUCAUGAAAAGGAAAGGAACAUAAGAUUGACAUGAGACACGUCUAUGAAGUUAAAGAAUGCCAGUCUCAAAUUUUAUUUCUCAAACUCUUUUACAACAACUGGUUCUUUCAUCACUCGCUUAUCAUCGUCAUUGAAUUUGCAGAUUUUGGAUGACAUAUUUGCAUCACAGAUGCAGCAAUUGCUUGGCAAUG
rnacentral:lncRNA from 1 species